rnacentral:tRNA from 1 species
GAGGGUAUAGCUCAGUGGUAGAGUGUGUGCUUAGCAUGCAUGAGGUCCUGAGUGGUCCUGGGUUCAAUCCCCAGUCCUUCCA